rnacentral:rRNA from 1 species
UACGUAGGGUGCAAGCGUUGUCCGGAAUUAUUGGGCGUAAAGAGCUCGUAGGCGGUUUGUUGCGUCGGCUGUGAAAUCCCGAGGCUCAACCUCGGGUCUGCAGUCGAUACGAGCAAACUAGAGUGUUGCAGGGGAGACUGGAAUUCCUGGUGUAGCGGUGAAAUGCGCAGAUAUCAGGAGGAACACCGGUGGCGAAGGCGGGUCUCUGGGCAACAACUGACGCUGGAGGAGCGGAA